rnacentral:rRNA from 1 species
GACGAACGCUGGCGGCGUGCCUAACACAUGCAAGUCGAACGGGGUUAUUAUGGAAGUUCCUUCGGGGACGGAAGUUUUAACUUAGUGGCGAACGGGUGAGUAACGCGUGAGAAACCUGCCUUUCAGUGGGGGACAACAGUUGGAAACGACUGCUAAUACCGCAUAAUGUUUCGAGAGGGCAUCCUUUUGAAACCAAAGCUUUAUGUGCUGAAAGAUGGUCUCGCGUCUGAUUAGCUAGUUGGCGGGGUAACGGCCCACCAAGGCUACGAUCAGUAGGGGUUCUGAGAGGAAAGGUCCCCCCACAUUGGAACUGAGACACGGUCCAAAACUCCUACGGGAGGCAGCAGUGAGGAAUAUUGGUCAAAUGGACGAGAGUCUGAACCAGCCAUGUCGCGUGAAGGACGACGGUCCUAUGGAUUGAAACUUCUUUUANAUGGGAAUAAAGUGUGGG